UCCAGACUCCUACGGGAGGCAGCAGUGGGGAAUAUUGCACAAUGGGGGAAACCCUGAUGCAGCGACGCCGCGUGAGUGAAGAAGUAUUUCGGUAUGUAAAGCUCUAUCAGCAGGGAAGAAAAUGACGGUACCUGAUUAAGAAGCCCCGGCUAACUACGUGCCAGCAGCCGCGGUAAUACGUAGGGGGCAAGCGUUAUCCGGAUUUACUGGGUGUAAAGGGAGCGUAGACGGCAGCACAAGUCUGGAGUGAAAUGCCGGGGCCCAACCCCGGAACUGCUCUGGAAACUGUGAAGCUGGAGUGCAGGAGAGGUAAGCGGAAUUCCUGGUGUAGCGGUGAAAUGCGUAGAUAUCAGGAGGAACACCGGCGGCGAAGGCGGCUUACUGGACUGUAACUGACGUUGAGGCUCGAAGGCGUGGGGAGCAAACAGGAUUAGAUACCCCAGUAU
rnacentral:rRNA from 1 species